rnacentral:rRNA from 1 species
AGCGAACGCUGGCGGCAGGCUUAACACAUGCAAGUCGAGCGGGCGUAGCAAUACGUCAGCGGCAGACGGGUGAGUAACGCGUGGGAACGUACCUUUUGGUUCGGAACAACACAGGGAAACUUGUGCUAAUACCGGAUAAGCCCUUACGGGGAAAGAUUUAUCGCCGAAAGAUCGGCCCGCGUCUGAUUAGCUAGUUGGUGAGGUAACGGCUUACCAAGGCGACGAUCAGUAGCUGGUCUGAGAGGAUGAUCAGCCACACUGGAACUGAGACACGGUCCAGACUCCUACGGGAGGCAG